CUUUGCAAACACAAUCACGUUCUUAAAUGGAAAUGCGGGGCUUUAAACAAAUCUUACAUCUCUCCCGUUCCAUUCGCCUAAAACUCUGCAAUCAGGCACAUGUUCCGCUCCUUCUAAAACAGGAGCUUUUUUGGAAGGUUUUUCAGGCGCAACAGUCCCAUUUUAAUCAUUUACCUGAAAGCAAUGUUUUGCCUUUUUUUUUUUUUUAUCUCUGCCGCGUGUUUGUUUGUUGUCAUCUUCCCCCUCCAUGCGACUAUUCUCUUUCUGUUUACAGGACGACUCAACUCCGGUGUUCAUUUUAAUCCGGGACUACAUCACUAAAAGAAUCCGCAAAGGCUGAGCGGCUUGCCAACAUGAAGGCCACAACCCUGAAAGGACACAGCAGGAGUGAGUCAAUGUGGCGAACAAACAUGUUGCCUGGUAUGGACAGUAUGUUUGUGACGUUCAUAGAUCCAUCCAAGCAUCUUCACUCUUAUUUCACAUAAACUCCUCGUCUAAUGUAAGAGCCUGGUGUGGUGUGCAUGUGUGAGGUAUUCACUUGUGUGUACAACUCAUUGACACUCGAACACAUUUGCUCAUUUUGAGUAAUAUAAGAACUUUUAUACAGUCAAAAAACAUCAAAUAUUGGGUUAACUAAAGACUUGUGCGACACAUUUUUAAAUUUGACAACAAUGCCAUCUGUCUAAAUGAAUUUCUGUUUUACUUUCUUACUUAUUUUGUGAGAUUUUCAUGCCUUGACUAAAGAGCUUAAAGUAGAAGAAUGACAGAAAAAGAAAGAAAUGUGGACUGACAUCUAACAAACGGCAGGCAGGUUUAAACCUGGAACUGUGCAGUUCACAGUUGGCACUAUAACCUUUAAGCCACAGGGGAGCCAACUUCUUUUAUUACACUUUUUGCUGAAGAAUUAAACAGUGAAUAAAGUUAACUUUAUUUGCGGAAGAACAUCUUUUUUUUUCGGAGUAGUCUUGUUCCACAGGUAAGCCCUCUCAGGCCGUGACUUUCCUUUGGGGCAGCUGCUUAGUUUUAUCCCACUUGAUUGCUCUCUUGGCCACGACACAACACAGCUUCUCUCUCACGCACGCACACACACACACACACACACACACACACACACACUCACACACGCACGCACACACUCCAGAGAACUUCCACACUAAGGCCCCACCGCAAAGUUAUUAAUGAGCUGUUUAAUUUUAAUUAGAUAGUAAUUCAUGUUAAUGCCUGCUUAAUGGAGCCAAAUAAUUCCCUUCGGUCACUCGGGGUCUUUAUGCUUCGUUUACCAGCCCCUGCAGUUAUUCUCUGGCUUUUGUUUUUAUAUUACAUUUCCAAGUUUUUUUUCCAAGCAGUGAGUGAAUGAUGAAACAGUAAAAGCAGGAAACAUAUGGGGUGAGAGAAGCGUGAGUGUGUGUGUGUGUGUGUUAAAGACUGUUAAUGUGAUCCUCACAGUGAACCCAAAUACCCGCAUGUUGGUGUUUGUGUGUCCUUUUAUUUCUAUUUCUUUUUAUUUGAAGGAUUGUUUGCCUCAAUGUGUGAAAUGUUGAACUACUCAGUCACACACACACACACACACACACACUGACCCCACAGUGCAGUAAAUGCCUUAAGUCAGACCAAAGAAAAGGUCAAACUCAGUAUUGAACGCUAAGCUAGGUUAAACCCUCAGGUUUAAGUGCAGGUACCAAGACAUGUGUAAGAGAGAGGUUGUGACCUUUUUGUCCAGGCCAAGCCCCUCGAGGUAAAUCGCUCCUGCCGCUUGUCACGUGUGCAUCUAGUGCGCCGCUGCCUACCUAGGGAAGCAUUUGUUCGUGACACGCCCCCAGAGGUUCAAACAUGGGUAAGGCUGUGUAGGAGUGACCACACCAGCUCGGACCGCCGUGCAUGUGUGCGUGAGAGGAGCAGUGGAGAGGUCAUUGCUGUUGAGUCUGUCUCGGUUCUGUCUGGGUGCCUCGGCUCUAACGGAGCACUAAGCUGAGUGGCUGAAUUGAGUUAGUGGCUACAGACAGGCUUUUAAUUGUUGAUUGACCAGUCUGAGUGCUUCCUGGGCUGGGGUCAUUGCAGAGAGCAGACGGGGAGGUCCCCAGGCCCCAGCGGCAAUUUCAGCCACGUACACCCAAGCGCUGUGGUGGGGCGGAAAGAGAAGGAGAGGAGGAUGUCGGAGAGCUAGAUGGGACAUGGUGAGGAGUGUGAAUAAGAGCGGAGGGACUUUAAAAAGUUAGAAAAUUUGUUGUGCUUUAUUCGUGUGUUUCCCCACCCCACCCCCCCUACAUGAAGUUUGAUCUAGGGAUUUAUAGGGGCCACACAAUUCACAAGCAAACAGAAAGGCAUAUUGGUGAAAGCGUUAGAGUGGCUGUACGCAGGGCAGGCUUUGAGGUCCGCAGAUUAGCAAGUUCAAUGUUUACUCCUCCACAAAAUCUCGGCUCCUUCAUCUGUUUGACAAUUACAAAUUUACUUUGUACCCGUUCCAUCCACUUCUUUGCCCCUCCGCUCCCUCCCUCUUUAUCCUCUUCUCUCUCCUUCCUUCAGCCCUCUUUCCUCUAAUUCUGCACGGGGCUACAAAAGCCCAUUCUGCUGUUUUAGUGGGUUAGCUCUUCUCACCUCCCCUCUUCUACUCCUCCUCCUCCUCCUCCUCCUCUUCUCGAGUCACAGCAGGUGCCCGUCCUCAGCUAACAUUUGUUAUCUCUAAUCCUGCAGGUUCGGCGCACAAAAAGAGCGUAGUAAACUCUCUCUCAGACCUAAUCCCACCACUCCUUUUUUGAUGGCACUCCCCCUCGCCCUCCUCUCCUCUUUUCUCCCUUCACUAUCUCUCUUUUAGGCUGCUGGGGGGACACGCCACUCCUCUGAUUGCCACAUAGCUUUUUAUCACCAUGGCCUUCAAUUUGGGGGGCAGCUGUUGGUAGCGGGGGUGUCCUUUUUUCUCCUGUUCUUUAUACCUCCGAUUCCAACUCUCUUUUCCCUUUCUCCCUUCGCUCUGUCUCCUUUUUUUUUUUGCCCCCUUCUCCCUCUCUCUCUGUAUCAUUUACAGUCAUUUUCUGGCAAUUAAAAUGGAGCGCUGCUGCAGGAUUUUCGCCUGCAGUGCAACACUACAGUGCUGAUGAAUAAUUCUUCACCCUGCAAACUGGAAAGCUAGCCUUUCUUUCAUGUCGGCCCUUUGUUGAUUUACCAUUAAAACUUACUGCACCGUGCUAUGAGUGGAGGACCCAGCUCUGCAGGAACUGGCAAAAAGCAAAAAUGAGGAUGAAGCAGAUAUGUGUACAUAUGCUUUAGGGUCUUUUUCUCCUCCAGCCCAGAAUGAAAAAGUCUGUGAGUUACGCAUGUGUGUCUUAUAUAUUUGUGUUUAUGGUUUAGAUUUAUGGCGCAUGAGGCCUCUUUAUUUAUGUCCACUGUCUCGUUCUGUACCACUUAGGUUUUAUGUUAAUUUUUCUUAUCAACGGUUUUCAUUAUGGGGCUUAGCUGCAUUGUGUGAGUGAUUAGACGGUCAUUCAUCUCUGUUUCCCUCUCGCGCUCACACACACUCACACUCUCUCUCUCUCUAUCACACACACAGCGAGCAGUGACUGAUGUGUGGAUGGAGUGUGUGGGGUGCUCUGGCUACAGAGGCGGGGUGGUGCUGGCAGUAUGUUAAAUGAUGUGGGUCUCCAGGCCAGCCCAGCUCUGAGCUGUUUUCUGUUAGCAGCAUCCCAGAGUGGACUAUUCACUGCUUUAAGGAUUUCAGUUUGAAUAACUUGUUUCCCAACAGAGAAAACUGAAAGUUCAUAUUUGGAGUGUAAAAUGUCAUAAUAAUAAAUAAAAAUCUGCGAAAAAAAAAUAGACAUUAGGAAAAUAAAUAUACAGGAUAACGUCAGCAGGCAGUUCUGAAUUAUCACAAAAAUGCUUGAGUUUCCUUUUUGUUUUUCCUGUCCAUGACAGAUUGAACUGUACAUUGGUUGAAUCAGUGAUUCUUCAAUUCUUCUCUACUGGCAUCAAUUUAAAGUGCACAUUUUCUGACAAGUUAGUGCUGUCAGUUUUGUAAAUAUUCCCUUUCCUGUUUGAAAAAAAAAUACAACAUAUGAUAUAGUUUGUUUUGAAUCUGCUUACAGUAAUCUGUCUGCAGAAAGUAUCAGGAAGUUCUUGAAUUUCAGGAAAAAGGUCAGCUUGUUUUUACACCCACAGUGAAGAUUUCUUUUGACAAAAAUAUGCAUGACCUAUCACUAACCCAUUUAUUUAGUUUAAGCGAAUUCAGAAAACACAUAAUGUGUAUCAUCUUCAUCGUACCACUGCCAUUGUCAGAUCAGUUAAAAGCUCACAUUUACUUCGUUUAUUUCUGGUUUGUUACCACUGCUAUCUUUUAGUUUCGAAAUAUCAAUAACAAUACCAAUCCUCUUUAAACGUCUUUUUCAUGUGAUGAAAAGUCCAAAAUCCAAACAAACUUAACUUCCAAAUUUUUAAGACUAAGAAAACUUGAUCAAAUAUUUGAUGAAUAAUCGAUUAUCAAAGCAUUUACCAAUUAUUCUUCUGGAAACUGAUUAAAUCCUUGAAUCAACAAAUCAUUGCAUGCAAGGCAAUUCACAGUUUUCAAAUGUACUUUAAAAAUGGUUAUGAUGUGAAUUCUCUGAUUUAUCAAUGUAACGACUGUGUGCAUGCACACAAUAGAGAAAAAGAACACAGAAAUUGAGUGCUCACAUUUCCCAAAUCAUGAACUGAUAUGAGGUGGUUUAAUGUUUGUUGGAACUCGAGUUACCAUCUGCAACCUAUAGUCAACUGUUUCAGUGGGUUUUAGCUCUUCUCACCUCUCCGCUCCUCACAGAAGGUUUAAUUCGUUUUGCUUGAGACGAGUGUAGCUGCAAGAGAAGUGUGUCCCCUUUAAUAAUUGCAAUGAAUGAACCAGUCCAUGAGUGAAACGGGGUGAAGUUUAAGCAGCUUUAACCCUGGCUGGAGGGGUGAAAUGUGGGCCUGAGAAGAAGUAUCCUCCCCUAUGUCAUCUGGCUCAGUAGUUAUCUCCCAGUCAGUUAUAUGGGCUUCAGCAUAUUGAACAGCAAAUUUGAACACACUCUCAUUCGGAUCCUCUGACAGGCACACACAUGAACAAGCAAACAUUGACACACACAUGUACACACAACGGCACACACACACACACACACACACACACACACACACACACACACACACACACACACA